ACCUCGGUUUGCGUACAGCAUAUUGAUCCAUCAGGGAUGUGGAAAAAGCAGCCUAGGACAUGCACUGAGAGCUCCUGGUUUGGAUCCAGCGAGAACCUGUUCCACAGGGCUGUCCCAUGGCCAGUGCUUGGUGUUGACAGCAGAAAGGUCCUCUCUGAAGCCUGGAGACACUUACCAAGGCUACAUUAAGGAAUCUCAGGCCAGCUUUAAAGCCCUCAGUGUUUUGAAACCUGCUGUAGACUCAUGCAAUGGACAAGAAGCAAGUCUUUGCUCUGAAAAUGAUAUUGAACCUAACAGGUAAUAGAGCAUGACACAGACUCCUGUCAUCUGAAUAUCCAGCUCUCAGUUCCUUUGCUCAUACACAGACAAGUGCGGCCUAAGGUGUUCCUGUGCCCCACUACACAUCCCUGUGUCCCACAUGCUGGCUGUUCCAACAAGGCUUGGUUUCCUCUCUCCUGGCCCUUGUCUAUCAGCCCCAGCUGGGCAUCUCAAACAGUCCAGAACACUGCAAAUUGUUCCAGAUGCUGGUGUGGAGGCAACUGGAUUAAACCCUGUGUGUCUAUGUAUUGCCUCCAUCAUGCCACAGGUUACCUCUGACGAUGGGAUGUCCUCAGGCAACUUGAGAAUCUGUAAGGAUCUUUCACUUUCUCCUUGCCAUCCCCUUCCUCCAGUGUCCUCUGUGUAAAUGA